GAUGAAGAACGUAGCGAAAUGCGAUAAGUAAUGUGAAUUGCAGAAUUCAGUGAAUCAUCGAAUCUUUGAACGCACCUUGCGCCCUUUGGCCAUUCCGAAGGGCAUGCCUGUUUGAGUAUCAUGAACACCUCAACUCUCAUGGCUCGCCAUGAUGAGCUUGGAUUUGGGGGUCUUGCUGGCCUGUGGUCGGCUCCUCUCAAAUGGAUCAGCUUGCCAGUGUUUGGUGGCAUCACAGGUGUGAUAACUAUCUGCGCUUGUGGUUUUCCAUCAGAUAACCUUCAGUGAUGGAGGUUCGCUGGAGCUCAUAAACGUCUCCCCUAAGCGGGGACAGCCCUUUGAAUGUUUGAUCUCAAAUCAGGUAGGACUACCCGCUGAACCUAAGCAUAUCAAUAAGCGGAGGA
rnacentral:misc_RNA from 1 species